UUCUUAUUAUAUUAUUAUAAGUAAAAUCUGCUCAAUGACAUUUAAAUAGCCGCAGAAUUUUAACUGUGCUAAGGUAGCAUAAUCAUUUACCUUUUAAUUGGAGGUUUGUAUGAAAGAUUUUACAUUUAAAUUACUUUUUUGCUAAAUUAAAUUUAAAUUUUAUUAAAAAUAAAAAUAUUUUUAUAUAAAAAAAAGACGACAAGACCCUAUUGAACUUCACUUCAGUUAAGCUGGGGAAGCUAAUUAAAUAUUAUUUUAAUACACUACCUGACAUAAGUUUCUGGGACCCUCAAUUUGAACAAGUUACCAUAGGGAUAACAGCGUAAUAAUUUUUAAAAGCUCUUAUUUAAAAAAAUGUUUACGACCUCGAUGUUGAAUUAAAUUCACUUUAAAACGCAAUAGUAUUAAAAGUAGGUCUGUUCGACCUUUAAAUUUUUACAU
rnacentral:rRNA from 1 species